GGCAGUGUAGUGUAGUAGUUUGAGCUUUGGACCAGGGCUCUGGAGACCAGGGUUCGAAUCCCUGCUUGGCCA